CCUACGGGUGGCAGCAGUGGGGGAUAUUGCACAAUGGGGGAAACCCUGAUGCAGCGACGCCGCGUGGGUGAAGAAGUAUUUCGGUAUGUAAAGCCCUAUCAGCAGGGAAGAAAGAAGACGGUACCUGACUAAGAAGCCCCGGCUAACUACGUGCCAGCAGCCGCGGUAAUACGUAGGGGGCGAGCGUUAUCCGGAUUCACUGGGUGUAAAGGGAGCGUAGACGGCCGUGCAAGCCAGGAGUGAAAGCCCGGGGCCCAACCCCGGGACUGCUCUUGGAACUGUGCGGCUGGAGUGCGGGAGGGGCAGGCGGAAUUCCUGGUGGAGCGGUGAAAUGCGUAGAUAUCAGGAGGAACACCGGCGGCGAAGGCGGCCUGCUGGACCGCGACUGACGUUGAGGCUCGAAAGCGUGGGGAGCGAACAGGAUUAGAUACCCUAGUAGUC
rnacentral:rRNA from 1 species